rnacentral:rRNA from 1 species
AAGGCUUGCUCGGAUUUUACACCCUCUUGGCAAUGAUGUUUGCGGGUUCGCCCGCCACCAGACACACAUAACCUUUUUAUGCUGUUCCGAAGUCGUCACACAAAUGUAAAUCUAUUUACAACUUUCAACAACGGAUACUCCUUGGUUCUGGCAUCUGAUGAAGAACGCAGCGAAAUGACGAUACGUAGUGUGAAUUGCAGAAUUCAGUGAAUCAUCGAAUCUUUGAACGCACAUUCGGCGCCCUUUGGUAUCUCCAAAGGGCAUGCCUGUUCGAGCGUCAUUUGUAUCCCUCAAGCUUUGCUUGGUGUUGGGCGUCUUUUGUACUCUUUGGCCUCGCCCAAAGACUCGCCUUAAAACGAUUGGCAGCCGGCCUACUGGUUUCGCAGACGCAGCACAUUUUUGCGCUUGGCAAUCAGCAAAAAGGACGGCAAUCCAUCAAGACUACAUUUUUCGCUUGCCUCGGUCAGGAGGA